GACAGAGACGAGAGGGGCAAGGGAGGACAGUGGAUGACAGGGAAGACGAGUGGGGGCAGAGCUGCUCAGGACCAUGGCUGAGGCCAUCACCUAUGCAGAUCUGAGACCCAGGGGCUGAUGAUGAUGGGGAAAUCACCUACGAGAAUGUUCAAGUGCCCGCAGUCCUAGGGGUGCCCUCAAGCUUGGCUUCUUCUGUACUAGGGGACAAAGCAGCGGUCAAGUCGGAGCAGCCAACUGCGUCCUGGAGAGCCGUGACGUCACCAGCUGUCGGGCGGAUUCUCCCCUGUGAGUGUGCCUGUGCGGGGCAGCCGCGGGGCCAAGUGCUCGCGCCUGUCCCGGCUGCGGAUGGCGCUGGGCCCCGCGGGGUGCAGCUCCUUCCGGGAUAAACCCGGGCGCAGUCCUUCCGACGCCCGGGCUGCCGUGCCACAUUCACCUUCAUCCGGUGCGCCUGAAUCCGACGUGCACCGCCCCCCUGCGGAUGGUCCCAAUUCACCUACCUGCCCCCCUUCCCCUCUCUCCGUCUGAUAUUUCCUUCCCCUUCUCCCAGGUAACGCCCCCGAGUCCCCA
rnacentral:lncRNA from 1 species